AUUGAACGCUGGCGGCAGGCUUAACACAUGCAAGUCGAGCGAGCGGCGGACGGGUGAGUAAUGUCUCGGAAACUGCCUGAUGGAGGGGGAUAACUACUGGAAACGGUAGCUAAUACCGCAUACCCUCGGAUGUGCCCAGAUUGGAUUAGCUAGUAGGUUGGGUAAUGGCUCACCUAGGCGAAGAUUCCUAACUGGUCUGAGCGGAUGACCAGCCACACUGGAACUGAGACACGGUCCAGACUCCUACGGGAGGCAGCAGUGGGGAAUAUUGCACAAUGGGCGAAAGCCUGAUGCAGCCAUGCCGCGUGUAGGAAGAAGGCCUUCGGGGUGUAAAGCACUUUCAGUGAGGAGGCGUUACUCGCAGAAGAAGCACCGGCUAACUCCGUGCCAGCAGCCGCGGUAAUUC
rnacentral:rRNA from 1 species